rnacentral:misc_RNA from 1 species
GAUGAAGAACGUAGUGAAAUGCGAUAAGUAAUGUGAAUUGCAGAAUUCAGUGAAUCAUCGAAUCUUUGAACGCACAUUGCGCCCGCCAGUAUUCUGGCGGGCAUGCCUGUCCGAGCGUCAUUUCAACCCUCGAACCCCUCCGGGGGGUCGGCGUUGGGGAUCGGCCCUUUCACCGGGUGCCGGCCCCUAAAUACAGUGGCGGUCUCGCCGCAGCCUCUCAUGCGCAGUAGUUUGCACACUCGCACCGGGAGCGCGGCGCGUCCUCGUCCGUAAAACACCCCAAACUUCUGAAAUGUUGACCUCGGAUCAGGUAGGAAUACCCGCUGAACUUAAGCAUAUCAAUAAGCGGAGGA